rnacentral:rRNA from 1 species
UACAGAGGUGGCAAGCGUUGUUCGGAAUUACUGGGCGUAAAGGGCGAGUAGGUGGCCAUCUAAGUCAGACGUGAAAUCCCCCGGCUUAACCUGGGAACUGCGUCUGAUACUGGACGGCUUGAGUAUGGGAGAGGAACGUAGAAUUCCAGGUGUAGCGGUGAAAUGCGUAGAUAUCGGGAGGAACACCUGAGGCGAAGGCGGGCUACUGGGCCGAUACUGACGCUGAGGCGCGAAAGCCAGGGGAGCAAACGGG